UCAGCUCAUUUUUCAAUCUCCAGCCAUUGUUGAAAAUGGAGCACGCAAGUGAAUUAGCAACAGAUCGAGGAACGACAUACUCAAACUUGAAGAAAGCCUUUGUGAUCGGAGUUCACCCAUUGCUGACUUCUUGUUCCAGAGAGAAGUUUGGUGAAACUUUCCCCAAUUUCGCUCCAGCAGAAGUAGAAUGCCUUCAUCGGGUAUAUGUUCAGGCAAUAGCAGGGAAUCAUGCUGUCAGUAGCAACCCAAGUGUAUUUGUAUAAGCCAAAAUCAUAGUGAAGCCAUAAUAUAUGUUGAGAAGCCCCAGCAAAUGGAUAUGCUAUUCCAGCAAAUCCCCCAAUAGAAUUUGACACAACAGAUCCUUGACUAGCAAAAGGAAUCCGGUACGAAUGGUGGAGUUACAUGUUGAUUGUAACCAAUUGAGACCACUAAGGAAAUAAUGGGAACAAAGUCCAAAGAAAUACCAGUAGCAUUGUCAAAUGUUGCAUCAGUCACCUUGGUUUGCAAAGUCUCGCAGCUAGACCGGGCGAAGCUACCAUUCUUACAAAAAUUGUCAGUGAUCACUUUUUCAAUGGUCGUGGUUUAAUUUUCUUCAUCAGCUACAGAGGAGGAAUGCUUGAUCUAGCUGUUGCAAUGAAUGAGUUGUCAUCCGCUGAUUGUCCAAUUUCAAAAGUGGAUUUCAGUCAAAUUUGUUUCUGACUUUCUUCUCAAACACCUUGGAACAACAACUAUGUGACAUUUUGUCGAACACCUGGGCUUAGAUCUUUGUGGAAUAUUCCUUGAUUGCAGCCAAAUGACCUUUCGGCGAUUCGAGACGCUAUUUUACGGAAGUGAAUCAACACUUUUGCAGUAAAAUGUUCCCAAUCCGCCAAUUUCUUGUUCCGUAAAAGCCAUUGGUACCACUUCAAAGCUUCUCCAUUGAGAUAGGUCAAGGUCAUUACUUGUUUGUACGAGAGCAUAGAGGAUGAAUUUGAGUCCUUGUGCGAGGAGACACAGGUAGGAACAACUCUCAGCAUGGUAAAGGAGCUUGUGGAAGAACAAGCUUGGAAGAAAGCUUGAACCCCUAGUUUCUGGAGAACUUUCCCGCAAGAUCAUACAUGAGUAAUCACGCAGCACCUCCUAAUCAAGCCUCGAAGGACAUGGACACUAGAAGAAGAACGCGCUCUUGUUAAUGGUUUAAAAGAUUUAUGUACUAGAGGUUGGAAAGCCGAUAAUGGAACCUUUAUGAAUGGAUACUUGAUGGAAUUGGAGCAUCAUUUACAGAAAAUCUGCACCACAUAUUAAUUCUAAAUUGAAAGCGUGGAAGAGGGACUAUAGUACUAUAGUUUCAUUAAAAAGUCGAAGUGGAAUGGACUUUCAAUAUGGUGGUGGAAGAAUUAUAGUUGAUGAUCUAACAAAAUGGGAUGACUUUGUUAAGGUAAUGAAUUUUUUUUUUUAAGUAAUUGGAUAUGUUAGUUCUCUUCAAAAUGUUUAAUAGAUGUAUUAUAAUUUUUGAUGCCUCAGCUCCAUGAACUUGAUAUGUGACUAGUAUGACCAUGAGGAUGCAUAUGUAAAUGUAAUGCAUGAAUGCUAAUUGGUAUGGGCAUCAUACCUUUUGUCUAUUUAUAGCUUUUUAUCAUCGCGUGA